CCGAUAAAUCGAAGAAAUCGAGCGAGGAAUAUCAAUUCUCGAGGUGGCCUCUGCUGAACGUGGCACGACAUUGAAAAGAAUGUAAAUGCGUUAUGACCGGCCCAGUUUUACGUUCGAUGUCACGAAGCAUUCGUCAACGUGUCUCUGCCUGUGGCUUACAGAUUAUCUUAUAAAUGAAUGAACGGUAGUUCCAGAAAGCGCAUCAUGCGAACUAUAGGCCGUACGUGAUGCGCAGAUCGAGUCGAAUUUCGUGAAGAAAGACUAGCGAUCGACGACAAGGAUCGAAAUCGAUGGGAUUGGCACGUAUCGUUAAAGGCAAGCGGACCACCAAGACCGGCGGGGCAAGUAUCACGGUGUCAAUUAAUGAGUCCCCUGCCCGGGACCAUGGGAUUCUCGAACGUUAUGUGGAACGGUCCCCAAAGAGGUCCCGCGGAGAAGCAAAAGGAGAAGGUCUUAAGGCUCCUACGGUUUUGUCGCGUGAUUCCUGACGAUUCCAGAUUUGGUCUUUUGACGAAAGCCUUGUCGUCAUGCAGUUUCUUUCUACGGCCUGAAUUCUGUUGAAAGCGCGUUAGAAUUGCACGAAAGAGACUAAACAAAUCGCUGCUGUCGAGAUCAGAAGCGCGCAUGAGAGAUGCUAGGUUGAACGAAGACGACUUCAUCUCCGUGGUGGUCCGAUGGAGGAGCAAAAACACCAUUAUGGUAGAA